rnacentral:rRNA from 1 species
UAGGGAAUCUUUCACAAUGGGCGAAAGCCUGAUGGAGCAACGCCGCGUGCAGGAUGAAGGCCUUCGGGUUGUAAACUGCUUUUAUAAGCGAGAAAUAUGAUGGUAACUUAUGAAUAAGGAUCGGCUAACUACGUGCC